rnacentral:tRNA from 1 species
GGAUCGGUAACUCAGAGGUAGAGUAACGGACUUUUAAUCCGCAGGUCCUGGGUUCGAUUCCCAGUCGAUCCACCA